GUCUCUACACCAUGAAUAACUUCUUCAAAAGCUCUAAAUUGGCUCACAAGUUCUUUAAUGGCUUCAACCGAGUCCAACUCAAGAAAACUCAGAGUGUUCGCCACCUGUCCCAACUUACUGGAAAUAUUGAAACCGAAUUACGUAAAAUUUCAGAAAAUUAUGUUCCAUUGACACCCAUAAGUUUUUUGGAGAGAGCAGUAGAUGUUUUUAGAGAUAGAACUUCAGUUGUGUUUGGUUCUUCUGUGAAGUACACUUGGGAAAAUACACAUUCUAGGUGUCUAAAACUUGCUUCAGCUUUGGUUCAGUUAGGAAUUUCUCGUGGAGAUGUGGUAGCAACUCUGGCUCCCAACGUACCAGCGAUGCAGGAAUUGCAUUUUGCAGUACUAAUGGCUGGAGCAGUUAUUUGUACAUUAAAUACACGCCUUGAUUCAGCAAUGAUAGCUGACUUACUAAAUCAUUCAGAAGCCAAAAUCAUAUUCGUUGAUCAACAUUUGGUCCAAAUUUCUCAACAAGCAAUCAGUCUUCUUUCAAAAGACAAAACAAUUAAACCACCAAUGCUUGUUCUUAUUCCUGAAUCCGAGAAUCCCUCGCCUCCUAUACCUGAGACAUUGUCGUCUAAUAACAUUCAUGAAUACGAAAAUCUUUUGGCAAGUGGGAGUAGCAAUUUUACAAUAAAAUGGCCAAAAACUGAAUUUGAUCCAAUCAGUAUAAAUUAUACUUCCGGCACAACUUCAGGAUCCAAGGGAGUUGUGUACAAUCACAGAGGCGCGUAUCUCAACACUAUUGCUAUGUUUCUAGUUUGUGGAAUGGGUCCGAUGCCUACAUACCUUUGGACAGUUCCCAUGUUUCACUGCAAUGGAUGGUGUUUGACUUGGGGAAUGGCUGCAAUUGGUGGCACAAAUGUUUGCCUUAGGCAUAUCUCUGCUAAAAAUAUAUUUGAAAGUAUUUCUCUCUACAAAGUCACACAUAUGGGCGCAGUACCAACCGUGACAGGAAGCCGCUUCCACAUAAGGUGAAAAUAUUAACAGGUGGAUCACCACCGCCUCCGCAGAUCUUUUCCAAAAUGGAGGAGCUCGGGUUCGGAGUAACUCAUGCAUAUGGAAUAACAGAAACUCAUGGUGUAGCAACAUCUUGCUUGUGGAAGCCUGAGUGGGAUUCUUUGCCUCUUGAGAAACAACUCGCGCUUAAAGCAAGACAAGGGGUGCGACAUCUUUGUAUUGAAGAUGUUGACGUUAGACACUGUGAGACAAUGGAAAAAGUGCCACUUGAUGGAAAGACUAUUGGCGAAGUUAUGUUAAGAGGAAACACCGUAAUGAGUGAAUAUUUGAAAGAUGUUAAAGCAACCGAAGAAGCUUUUAGAGGCGGAUGGUUUCACAGUGGUGAUCUUGCUGUAAAACAUCAAGAUGGUUACAUAGAAAUUAAGGACAGGUUAAAAGACAAAAUAAUUUCAGGAGGUGAAAACAUAAGCUCGUUCGAGGUCGAAAGAGUUUUGUAUUGACAUCCAGCAGUAGUUGAAGCAGCAGUAGUAGCAAGACCAGAUAAUCACUGGGGACAAACACCUUGUGCUUUCGUUAAACUGAAGGAAGGAUUCGAUGAAAUAAUUACUUCGCAGGAAAUAAUCAAAUUCUGUAGGAAUCAUUUGCCUCAUUACAUGGCGCCUGCGACAGUGAUUUUUGAAAAUUUACCAAAAACUUCAAUUGGAAAGGUACAGAAAUUCAUCUUGAGGGAGAAAGCAAAAGCUUUGGGCAGUCUUCACUAAACCAAAACAAGAAAAGUCUUAAGUUAUAUUAAUUGCUUCGAAGUAAAUAGAUGUUGUACUUUGAAAUCCUACAACUGGUAGCACUUGCUGUUGCAUCACAUAUUAUGCUUCAAAAGCAUUGAAAAUUAUUCACUUUGCGAGAAAUAUUGGUCAUUAUGGAUGCAUACGGUCAAAUCCGGGUUUGCCUUUCGUAUAAUUAGUCGAGAUUCGAACGUGAUGGACCGUGGGUCAUCAUUGUAACGACGAGAUAAGAAGUAAAGCCCGGUUAUCGAGCUCAAGAUACCGAGCUCGAUUCGAUAUCGAGCUAUGGCAUGACGUAGUACUAUCGAAUUCAAGAGUCAAAGGCCGACUAAUACCGAGCUCGAGUCAAUAUUGAGCUCGGGUCAAUAUCGAACUCAAGAUCCAGAGAUCGACCAAUACCGAGACCGACCAAGGUCGAGCUAAGGGACAAAGAGCCGUUGUAGCCGCACCAGGAAGAGAAUCUCGGCGGGAAUUAAGAAUCUCCACUAUAUAUUUUUUAUUAUAUCCAAAGCAUGAUUUUUUCACUAUAUAUAGGGUGGGUAUCAUUUUUGUAAGGAGAGGCAUUCGACAUCCAGAGAAGAAAACAU